rnacentral:rRNA from 1 species
UAGGGAAUCUUCCGCAAUGGGCGAAAGCCUGACGGAGCAACGCCGCGUGAGUGAUGAAGGUCUACGGAUCGUAAAACUCUGUUAUUAGGGAAGAACAAAUGUGUAAGUAACUAUGCACGUCUUGACGGUACCUAAUCAGAAAGCCACGGCUAACUACGUGCCAGCAGCCGCGGUAAUACGUAGGUGGCAAGCGUUAUCCGGAAUUAUUGUGCGUAAAGCGCGCAUAGGCGGUUUUUUAAGUCUGAUGUGAAAGCCCACGGCUCAACCGUGGAGGGUCAUUGGAAACUGGAAAACUUGAGUGCAGAAGAGGAAAGUGGAAUUCCAUGUGUAGCGGUGAAAUGCGCAGAAAUAUGGAGGAACACCAGUGGCGAAGGCGACUUUCUGGUCUGUAACUGACGCUGAUGUGCGAAAGCGGGGGGAUCAAACAGG